rnacentral:tRNA from 1 species
GAUGCUGUGGCUCAGUUGGUAGAGCAUGGCACUUGCAAUGCUAGGUUUGUGGGUUUGAUUCCCACUUGGCACCA